GUUUAAUGAUUUGAAUAAGAGGUAUAAGAAAUUGAAUGAUAUUCUUGGGAGGGGUACUUCUUGUGCUGUGGUGGAAAAUCCGGUUCUAAUGGACUCCAUGCCGCAGCUUUCAGCCAAGGCCAAGGACACGGUGAAAAAGAUACUUAACUCAAAACAUUUGUUUUAUAGAGAGAUGUGUGCUUACCAUAAUGGGCAGAAGAUACCUGAUUGCAAUGAUCUUGAAUUUCCAGCUCACUCUUCACCUGUUGCAGCACCGUGUGCAAAAGAUCAUAAUGGCUCCCAGGGAGACGAAGCUGAAGAAAAUGAUGAAAGUGAUGAUGAUGAUGAUGAAUCGGAUGAUAACCAUGGUGAUGGUGAUGCACGUAAAAUUGGAGAUUUUGAUGAGAGAAUGAGACGAGUUGAAGAAAAUGGCUACUUCUUGCCACAAAUUAACGGGAAUGAUAAUUUUUUGGCUGAAAUUAAUGAGUUUUUUCAUGACCCUACAAAAUCCCAGUGGGAUAAAAAAAUGUGGAUUAAGAAACGGAUGUUACAACUGGAAGAGGAAAAGAUUGGCAUCCAGGCUGAAGCCUUUGAGUUGGAGAAACGUCAGGUUAAGUGGCAAAGGUUCUGCCGCAAGAAAGACAGGGAGUUUGAAAUUGAAAGGCUGGAGAACAAGAAAUUAAUGUUGGAGAAUGAACAUAUGGCAUUGCAACUGAAGCAUAAGCAGCACGAAUUAGACAGUACAAAGCCCAACAUUUCUUUCAAUUCUGCACCUCUGAGCUUAGAUAGACCGAUGGGAAGAGAUCAGCUUGAUGCAGCUAGGUAUCAUUAGCUAGUAAGCAUCGGAAAUCUCCAAGUUUUUGACAGCCUGUCAUCACCCCCUUUUGUUGUAAAAUCUUUUUAAAAUGUUUUACAGCUAACAUGCAGCAGCAAACUUGUUAAUCUGUUCUUUCGAAUUGUCCUAGUAUUUUUCUUUAA
rnacentral:misc_RNA from 1 species